GAGCUCCCAUGGCGCCUGUUUAUCAAAAACAUUGCUAUUUGUUUAAUAAAUAGUAACACCUGCCCAAUGAUUCUUUAAAUAGCCGCAAUAAUUUGUGCUAAGGUAGCAUAAUCAAUUGCCUUAUAAUUAAAGGCUAGAAUGAAAGGUUUUACAUAUUGAAUCCUUUAUUACUAUAACUUCUUUAAAUUCUUAUGAAAGUAAAAAAACUUCUCAUAAAAUAGGGGGACGACAAGACCCUAUCGAACUUAACAUAAAGUUUCACUGGGGCGGUGAAUUAAAUAUAACUUUUCAAUUUCUCAUAUUAAAAAAUAAAGAAAUAAUAGAGAACAAGUUACCGUAGGGAUAACAGCACAAUUUUCUUUCGGAGACCUUAUCUUAAAGAAAGAUUAUGACCUCGAUGUUGAAUUAAAUCUCCUUUUAGUGAAGAAGCUUUAAAGGAAAGUCUGUUCGACUUUCAAAAAUUUACGUGAUCUGAGUUCAGACCGGCCAUGGGAGCUC
rnacentral:rRNA from 1 species